UGCCAACAGAAUAAAGUCUUAUCUCUUUAGC
rnacentral:piRNA from 2 species